UCUCCGUUGGUGAACCAGCGGAGGGAUCAUUACAGAGUUAUCUAACUCCCAAACCCAUGUGAACUUACCAUUUGUUGCCUCGGCAGAGCCUACCCGGUAACUGUUCGGAGAAGCUACCCUGUAGCUACCCUGUAACGGCCUACCCUGUAACGCACUGCCGGUGGACUUUUAAACUUUUUUUAUUUUAUAGUAUUCUGAGCGUCUUAUUUUAAUAAGUAAAAACUUUCAACAACGGAUCUCUUGGUUCUGGCAUCGAUAAAGAACGCAGC
rnacentral:misc_RNA from 1 species